CCUACGGGUGGCAGCAGUGAGGAAUAUUGGUCAAUGGACGAGAGUCUGAACCAGCCAAGUAGCGUGAAGGAUGACUGCCCUACGGGUUGUAAACUUCUUUUAUAUGAGAAUAAAAUGUUCCACGUGUGGGAUUUUGUAUGUACCAUACGAAUAAGGUUCGGCUAACUCCGUGCCAGCAGCCGCGGUAAUACGGAGGAUCCGAGCGUUAUCCGGAUUUAUUGGGUGUAAAGUGAGCGUAGGUGGAGUGAUAAGUCAGUUGUGAAAGUUUGGGGCUCAACCGGAGAAUGGCAGUUGAAACUGGGAGUCUUGAGUACAGUAGAGGUGGGCGGAAUUCGGGGUGUAGCGGUGAAAUGCUUAGAUAUCGAGAAGAACUCUGAUGGCGAAGGCAGGUUACUGGACUUCAACUGACGCUGAGGCACGAAGGUGAGGGUAUCAAACAGGAUUAGAUACCCGAGUAGUC
rnacentral:rRNA from 1 species